rnacentral:tRNA from 2 species
GCCGGCGUAGCUCAGUUGGUAGAGCAACCGCCUUGUAAGCGGUAGGUCGGGGGUUCGACUCCCUUCGCCGGCA